GAUGAACGCUGGCGGCGUGCCUAAUACAUGCAAGUCGAGCGAACAGAUAAUGAGCUUGCUCCUUUGACGUUAGCGGCUGACGUGUGAUUAACACGUGGGUAACCUACCUAUAUUACUUGGAUAACUUCGUGAAACCGGAGCUAAUACCGGAUAACAUUUUGAACCGCAUUGUUCUAAAGUGAAUUAUGUUUUUGCUAUCUCUUAUAGAUUGACCCGCGCCGUAUUAGCUAGUUGGUAAGGUAACGGCUUACCAAGGCAACGAUACGUAGCCGACCUGAGAGGGGGAUCGGCGACACGGGAACUGAGACACGGAAAAGACUACUACGGGAGGCAGCAGUAGGGAAUAUUACGCAAUGGGAGAAAGCAUGACGGAGCAAAGCGGAGUGAGUGAUGAAGGGAUACGGAUCGUAAAACACUGUUAUGAGGGAAGAACAAAAGUGUAAGUAAAUGUGCACGUAGUGACGGUAACUAAUAAGAAAGCAACGGCUAACUACGUG
rnacentral:rRNA from 1 species